rnacentral:rRNA from 1 species
GAAGAAGGGUUUCGGCUCGUAAAGCUCUGUUGUAAAGAAGAACGUGGGUAAGAGUAACUGUUUACCCAGUGACGGUAUUUAACCAGAAAGCCACGGCUAACUACGUGCCAGCAGCCGCGGUAAUUACGUAGGUGGCAAGCGUUAUCCGGAUUUAUUGGGCGUAAAGCGAGCGCAGGCGGUCUUUUAAGUCUAAUGUGAAAGCCUUCGGCUCAACCGAAGAAGUGCAUUGGAAACUGGGAGACUUGAGUGCAGAAGAGGACAGUGGAACUCCAUGUGUAGCGGUGAAAUGCGUAGAUAUAUGGAAGAACACCAGUGGCGAAGGCGGCUGUCUGGUCUGCAACUGACGCUGAGGCUCGAAAGCAUGGGUAGCGAACAGGAUUAGAUACCCUGGUAGUCCAUGCCGUAAACGAUGAUUACUAAGUGUUGGAGGGUUUCCGCCCUUCAGUGCUGCAGCUAACGCAUUAAGUAAUCCGCCUGGGGAGUACGACCGCAAGGUUGAAACUCAAAAGAAUUGACGGGGGCCCGCACAAGCGGUGGAGCAUGUGGUUUAAUUCGAAGCUACGCGAAGAACCUUACCAGGUCUUGACAUCUUCUGACAGUCUAAGAGAUUAGAGGUUCCCUUCGGGGACAGAAUGACAGGUGGUGCAUGGUUGUCGUCAGCUCGUGUCGUGAGAUGUUGGGUUAAGUCCCGCAACGAGCGCAACCCUUAUUACUAGUUGCCAGCAUUAAGUUGGGCACUCUAGUGAGACUGCCGGUGACAAACCGGAGGAAGGUGGGGACGACGUCAAAUCAUCAUGCCCCUUAUGACCUGGGCUACACACGUGCUACAAUGGAUGGUACAACGAGUCGCGAGACCGCGAGGUUAAGCUAAUCUCUUAAAACCAUUCUCAGUUCGGACUGUAGGCUGCAACUCGCCUACACGAAGUCGGAAUCGCUAGUAAUCGCGGAUCAGCAUGCCGCGGUGAAUACGUUCCCGGGCCUUGUACACACCGCCCGUCACACCAUGAGAGUUUGUAACACCCAAAGCCGGUGGGGUAACCUUUUAGGAGCUAGCCGUCUAAAGU